AUGGUUGCAGAUUGUUCUUUAGCCCAGGCCAUGUGGGCAGUGACUAGCUCCCCAUGGUUGUUAUCUGUACUCUUGAUCCCUGUGCUCUCUAGGUCUUCUGUGAGUGUGGGUUGGCAAGAUAUAAUAGUUAGGAGUUUGGGCCCAAACCGCUCUGUACAUGGAGUCAGGUCAGAUUCUUGUAGACAGUCUGUUUGUUUAAUUUGUUAUGGUCUCUACAAUUUAGCUUGCAGGACUGGAUCUCGAUCUGGUCUGGAAAUGAAGCUUCAUAUGGUGUGUGAACAUAUGGUGAAGGGUACUUGA
rnacentral:rRNA from 1 species